rnacentral:rRNA from 1 species
CCUACGGGAGGCAGCAGUGGGGAAUAUUGCACAAUGGGCGAAAGCCUGAUGCAGCAACGCCGCGUGAGGGAUGACGGCCUUCGGGUUGUAAACCUCUUUUAGUAGGGAAGAAGCGAAAAGUGACGGUACCUGCAGAAAAAGCACCGGCUAACUACGUGCCAGCAGCCGCGGUAAUACGUAGGGUGCAAGCGUUGUCCGGAAUUAUUGGGCGUAAAGAGCUCGUAGGCGGUUUGUCGCGUCUGCUGUGAAAUCCCGAGGCUCAACCUCGGGCUUGCAGUGGGUACGGGCAGACUAGAGUGCGGUAGGGGAGAUUGGAAUUCCUGGUGUAGCGGUGGAAUGCGCAGAUAUCAGGAGGAACACCGAUGGCGAAGGCAGAUCUCUGGGCCGUAACUGACGCUGAGGAGCGAAAGCAUGGGGAGCGAACAGGAUUAGAUACCCUGGUAGUCCAUGCCGUAAACGUUGGGCGCUAGAUGUAGGGACCUUUCCACGGUUUCUGUGUCGUAGCUAACGCAUUAAGCGCCCCGCCUGGGGAGUACGGCCGCAAGGCUAAAACUUAAAGGAAAUUGACGGCNGAGAGNGCGAGACGACGACGAGGAGAG